GACGUAGGGCGCGAGCGUUGUCCGGAUUUAUUGGGCGUAAAGAGCUCGUAUGCGGCUUGUCGCGUCGUCCGUGAAAACCUGCAGCUCAACUGCAGGCUUGCGGUCGAUACGGGCAGGCUAGAGUUCGGUAGGGGAGACUGGAAUUCCUGGUGUAGCGGUGAAAUGCGCAGAUAUCAGGAGGAACACCGGUGGCGAAGGCGGGUCUCUGGGCCGAUACUGACGCUGAGGAGCGAAAGUGUGGGGAGCGAACAGG
rnacentral:rRNA from 1 species